GCCCGGCUAGCUCAAUCGGUAGAGCGUGAGACUCUUAUGGGGUUCUCCAUCAUCUCAAGGUUGUGGGUUCGACCCCCACGUCGGGCU
rnacentral:tRNA from 1 species